CUAAAAAAAUUAAACAAAAAAGGAUCUGGGACCCCCUGCUCUCUCUCUUGCUCCCUUUCUCAUUGUGUGACAUGUCUGUUCCCCUUUUGCCUUCUUCUAUGAGUGAAAGCUUCCUGUAGCCUCACUAGAAGCCGAACAGAUGCUGGUGCCACGUUUGUACAGCCUGCAGAACUAUUCCAAAGCUCUUGAGCUGCAUGAAGUCACUGGAACACAGUAGAGCUUCUGAACCUGUAGCUGGAGAUGAGUAUCACCAGCCAACAUCCUUGGCAGAGCUGUGAGCCAACAGCCAGCCCCAGCCUGCCAGCCGUGUGAGCAAGCAGUCUUGGAAGGUGAUUCUACAGCCCCAGCUGAAACACUCCAACUGAUGCCAUGUGAGCCGAGAAGAGCAGCCAAACUGAGCCCUUCUCAAAUCCCUGAUCCUCCAAAUGUAGGCAAAAUAAAUUGCUGGUUUUAAGCCACUAA
rnacentral:lncRNA from 1 species